rnacentral:rRNA from 1 species
ACGGAGGGUGCAAGCGUUAUCCGGAUUCACUGGGUUUAAAGGGUGCGUAGGUGGGCGAGUAAGUCAGUGGUGAAAUCUCCGGGCUUAACCCGGAAACUGCCAUUGAUACUAUUCGUCUUGAAUGUUGUGGAGGUAAGCGGAAUAUGUCAUGUAGCGGUGAAAUGCUUAGAUAUGACAUAGAACACCGAUAGCGUAGGCAGCUUACUACACAAAUAUUGACACUGAGGCACGAAAGCGUGGGGAUCAAACAGGA